CUGUUCUCUUAUUAUUAGGGUUCAACUUCUUCCCAUCGAUCUUUAUACACAAGCAGUGAUGAUGAUGAGAAUGAUUAUCAGAACUCUUUGUUUUUUUACGUUUCUUCUCUGAUCCUCCCUCUCUCUCUCUCUCUCUCUCUCGUUCUCUUCUCCAUCCGAAAAACCCUGAGAUAUAUUAUCCAAAUCAUUAUAUCCUUUCAAAACCCGUACCAAAAAUCCCGAUAGCCAACAGUUGAGAUGAAGAAUUAAUGAACUAGAAGAAGACUUCUGGCACCUCUAAGAGGGCUCUUCUACUGGUUGGAGUUAAGUUUUUCGAUUCUACAAUAAGGUCAUUCUGUUAGUAAAGAUGUUAGUGAAGUGGCUCUUUUGGACAAAUCUAUUUAGGUACCGAUAUUCAGACUAAUGAAGAGGUUGCUAUUAAGCUAAUUAUGCAUACAACAAGUAGAUGCAUCUCUAUUAGAAGUAGGAUCGAAAGGCGAAGCUGUGAAUUCCUAGGGGGCAAAUCCAAAUAUUUCACUUGAAAAUAGGUUUUUGGGAAAAUGCGAAGGCGAAGUAUCCUCAAUUGUUAUACGAGUCAAUUCUGUACAGGUUUUUUUAAGGAGGAAAUGGAAUUCCAAAUACGAGAUGGUUCGGGGUCGAGGGAGAUUACAAAGUUCUUGUUAUGGACUUUCUUGGACCUAGUUUGGAAGAUCUUCUUAACUCCUAUGGCAGGAAAUUUUCUCUGAAGACCGUUCUAAUGCCUGCAUAGCAAAUGAUAAAUCGAGUGGAAUUUAUUCAUAGCAAAUCUUACUUGCACCGAGAUAUUAAGCCACACAAUUUCCUUAUGGGCACGGGAGGGCGUGCAAACCAGGUGUACAUAAUUAAUUUUGGUUUGGCUAAGAAGUACAGAAAUUCUAAGACCCAACAACAUGCUCCAUACAGAGAAAAGAAAGAUUUGAUCGGAUCUCCACGUUAUGCAAGCAGAAAUUCCCAUCUUGGUAUUGGUACUCCACCCCUGGAGGAUAUUCGUGCAAGGAAAUUCUCCUAUCGCACCUGGAAAGCUCAUGAGCAUUACUCAAAUGAUGAAAUCAGAAUUUGCUGACAAGUCACUUUCUGUCAUUGGAGGAGUUGAGACCGUCUGGGAUGCAGCUGAAUUUAUUCUUCUUGGAGCAAAUAUAGUUCAGGAUGGUGUUUCAUUGAAUGGGGAACGGAACUAUGGUGCCAAAGAUGAAUGUAAUACAUGACUGGAAAGGAAAAGUUCAUAGAUCUUUAGCUCGUGCUGGAAAAACUCCUCUUUAAGGAAAGCCAAGAGGCCAGGAAAUCAGAAGAAUGAAGAUUUGGAGGAUUUCUUGAAUACGGUUAGUGAUGAGAAAGAUAUGGCAGUCAGGUUACCAAAAACUCCCCGAAGAACAACUUGACCUUGAUAAUUAUGAAGCAAGAUGCAGGAGAUAUGUGGCAAGGAAUGGUAAAAGAGCUGCUCUGAACUGUUUAUCUUGCUCCUGCGUUUGGACAGAGAGUUUAAUUUAAACAAAUAUGAAGAACUUAUCGCUAUUCUUGACCUGCCGUCAAGACUGCUGUCCUUUAACACGGUAAUAUCAUUUACAUUAAGCUGAUUUGUACCUUACUAGAUGUCAUCAAAUUUCUAUGCUGAAAUCUCAGCUUCUUACUGGUUUGCACUUGCUCAAAGUUGUAUUGGUCCUAGUCGAUCAUAUAUUCAUUAUUUCUGUUGAAAUGGGGAAUUCUAGUAGGUGAUCCUUGUGUUCAUUCUGUCUUUCGAUCCAAAAAAAAAGAUUUAUGUCAUAGGCCACUUCUUCUUCUUAGGUCAUUUCGAUUCAAAAGAUAAAGCCUUUUGCCUUGGUUCUAAUGGUACAUGUUAGAUGUUACAUUUUUUUUUUUUUUUUUGAUAUAUAAUUAGGUGCUAUGUUUCACACUUUUAUCGUUAACAUGAGAUAGGUGAUAGUUAUAGGUUCAUCUUCAUAUGAAGCUAAAGCACAAUAACUUGAGAUGAAACAGUCAUGUUUGCUUACAACAAAGCACUUGUAUACUUUGAACUUAUCUUGUUUUUCGUGUCUUCAUUAGACAAGUUAAUUAAGAUCAAUUACUAAUGUAUUGUUUUUCUUGUGUUUACAUGAAAGUAUGCUUGACAAGUAGCUGGCCAGCUCUCAUGGUCAAUACUUCUACAAGUUCUUCUGCCAGUCCAGGUUCACCAAUGGUUCCAUGUUUUAUUUUGGUUUGAACUGAAUUAUUUCAUUUUUUGUUUGUAUUUUUUGGUAGUUUCUGUAUCAGAAUGUAUACUUCUCAGAUUUCUAUAAUGUUAUGUAAUUGUUCACAUUUGGAACUUGAGAAAUUGUAGUUUGUUGAACUUGUAAAAUGA